rnacentral:rRNA from 1 species
UACGGGGGGGGCAAGCGUUGUUCGGAAUUACUGGGCGUAAAGGGCUCGUAGGUGGCCAACUAAGUCAGACGUGAAAUCCCUCGGCUUAACCGGGGAACUGCGUCUGAUACUGGAUGGCUAGAGUUUGGGAGAGGGAUGCGGAAUUCCAGGUGUAGCGGUGAAAUGCGUAGAUAUCUGGAGGAACACCGGUGGCGAAGGCGGCAUCCUGGACCAACACUGACGCUGAGGAGCGAAAGCGUGGGGAGCAAACCGG